CUUAUCGCGAGUGACGGAGGGAUGGGCCCGAUGAAGUCACGGCAACCGGCGGUUUCUCCGCAUGGUGCCAAAUCCCCCAGCCUUCCCUGAAAAGGGGCAGACGGCUGACAGAUAAG
rnacentral:ncRNA from 1 species